AACUAGGGGUUUAACGGGAUUACUGGGCGUAAGCGCACGCAAGGCGGUCUGUCAAAGUCGGAAUGUGAAAUCCCCGGUUUACUUGACAUAAGAAAAACUGCAUUCGAAACUGGCAGGCUAGAUUUCCCGUAGAGGGGGGUAUUAUUCCAGGUGUAGCGGUGAAAUGCGUAGAGAUCUGGAGGAAUACCGGUGGCGAAGGCGGCCCCCUGGACGAAGACUGACGCUCAGGUGCGAAAGCGUGGGGAGCAAACAGGAUUAGAUACCCUGGUAGUCCACGCCGUAAACGAUGUCGACUUGGAGGCUGUUC
rnacentral:rRNA from 1 species